AUGAAUUUUAAGCAACUUGAUCAUGAGCAUGUUGCACAAUCUUGGGAGAGGAUGAAAUUAAUGAUUCACAAUUGCCCUACACAUGGAUUAAAUUUAUGGAUGAUCAUACAAAAAAAUUAUGCUGGAUUGAAUUUUGCUUCUAGAAAUCUUCUAGAUUCGGCCGUGGGAGGCACUUUUAUGGAAAUAACUUUAGGAGAAGCUACUAAACUCCUAGAUAAUAUUAUGGUUAAUUAUUCUAAAUGGCACACCGAAAGAUCUACUAGUAAAAACGUUCAUGCGAAGAGAUUAGUAAAAGGUUAA
rnacentral:rRNA from 1 species